rnacentral:rRNA from 1 species
UACGAGAGGCGCAAACGUUAUUCGGAAUUACUGGGCUUAAAGAGCUCGUAGGCGGUUCGGUAAGUCGGGUGUGAAACCUCCAGGCUCAACCUGGAGACGCCACCCGAUACUGCUGUGACUAGAGUCCGGUAGGGGAGCGUGGAAUUCCUGGUGUAGCGGUGAAAUGCGCAGAUAUCAGGAGGAACACCAGCGGCGAAGGCGGCGCUCUGGGCCGGAACUGACGCUGAGGAGCGAAAGCGUGGGGAGCAAACAGG